ACGACCUUACUUGAACAGGAUCUGUUCUAUAGGCUUGUACCACUGAAUCCUUUAUUUCUAAGGAGACAGGAAACCAAGUCUGGUUGAUGAAGCAUGGCCAUGUGACCAGAGCGUGAUUAACAACCAACCAUGGCUCUUCGAGCUGUGGUUGCAGUAGAUGAUUGUUCUUAGGCCUGAGAUAACCAAGUCUGGUUGAUGAAGCAUGACCAUGUGACCAGAGC